rnacentral:rRNA from 1 species
UACGGAGGGUGCAAGCGUUAUCCGGAUUCACUGGGUUUAAAGGGAGCGUAGGUGGGCUGGUAAGUCAGUGGUGAAAUCUCCGGGCUUAACUCGGAAACUGCCGUUGAUACUAUCAGUCUUGAAUAUUGUGGAGGUAAGCGGAAUAUGUCAUGUAGCGGUGAAAUGCUUAGAUAUGACAUAGGACACCGAUAGCGAAGGCAGCUUGCUACACAAUUAUUGACACUGAGGCUCGAAAGCGUGGGGAUCAAACAGG